rnacentral:rRNA from 1 species
GACCUCAAAUCAGGUAGGAACACCCGCUGAACUUAAGCAUAUCAAUAAGCGGAGGAAAAGAAAAUAACAAUGAUUCCCCUAGUAACUGCGAGUGAAGAGGGACAAGCUCAAAUUUUAAAUCUAUCGGGUUUUACCUGAUCGAGUUGUAAUUUGAAGAAGCGUUUUCUGCGUAUUUGGUCAGCCUAAGUCCUAUUGAAUGAGGCAUCAUGGAGGGCGAUAAUCCCGUCCGGUUGAUCAUUUGCGUUUUACGAUACGCUUUCUAAGAGUCAAGUUGUUUGGGAUUGCAGCUUAAAAUGGGAGGUAAAUUUCUCCUAAGGCUAAAUAACGGCGAGAGACCGAUAGCGAACAAGUACCGUGAGGGAAAGAUGAAAAGAACUUUGAAAAGAGAGUUAAACAGUACGUGAAAUUGUUGAAAGGGAAACGAUUGAAGCCAGUCGUACCUUCGGGUAAUCAGCCUUUUGGGUGUGAUUUUGUGGAGCGUGAAGAGUUAAACGCCUUCAUGCUUGCAUAUUCGUGCACUUUGGGUGUACUUGCCCGUGUGGUUGGUUAACAUCAAUUUUGGUGGUCAUAAAAUGACUGGGGGAAUGUAGCUUCGAUCUUGUAUUGAAGUGUUAUAGCCUUCGGUAGAUGUGAUGAUCGAGAUUGAGGAUUGCAACGGAUACCCUUCGGGGCUACCUGUCUGGUCUCUGAUCGUUGCUCUGGUGCCGAAAGCUUGCUUACGGUUAUCAAAGUCGAUGGUCAAUAGGUUAGAACGGGUUAAAUUCGUUAAGGAUGUUGACGUAAUGGCUUUAAACGACCCGUCUUGAAACACGGACCA